rnacentral:lncRNA from 1 species
AUUUUUCAAAAGUUUUCCCAAAUCUCUGCAACCUAUCCUAACUUGUCUAACAACCCAAACUUUCAAAAUAACAAUUUUUUUCUUAUUCAAAAUUUUUUUUUAUGGCUCAAGAAAUGGGGGAAAAAAGACAAACUACACAUACGACUCGUCAAGCACAUGUAAUUAUUAAAAACAAACUAGAAGCAUAAUUAAAACUAAUUAGAAAGCAAUGAAAUUAGAAAACAUAAAUAAAAUGAAAACAAUAAAUAUCUCCUCCCAAACUUAAA